AUACGGGGGCAGCAAGCGUUGUCCGGAAUCACUGGGCGUAAAGGGCGUAUAGGCGGGUUGGUCAGUCAGAUGUGAAAGCCUGCGGCUUAACCGUAGAAAUGCAUUUGAAACUGCCGGCCUUGAGUGCGAGAGAGGGUAGUGGAAUUCCCAGUGUAGCGGUGAAAUGCGUAGAUAUUGGGAAGAACACCAGUAGCGAAGGCGGCUACCUGGCUCGCAACCGACGCUAAUGCGCGAAAGCGUGGGGAGCGAACAGGAUUAGAAACCCCAGUAGUCC
rnacentral:rRNA from 1 species